rnacentral:tRNA from 1 species
GCAUGUAGCUCAGUGGUAGAAUGCUUGUGUAGCACGUGUGAGAGGCCCUGGGUUCAAUCCCCAGUACUGCA